CCAGGCUCCACUCCCCAGCUGUGAAAGGAAUGAAGAUAUAGAGAAACAAGGAAGAAAUUAACCCCGACAAAGAAAAAAGUGCCAAGAAAAAGCAUUUGGAUAAGAAGAGAAAAUUGAAGGAGAUGUUUGAUGUGGAAUAUGAUGAAGGAGAAAGCACAUAUUUUGAUGAUCUUAAAGGAGAAAUGCAGAAACAAGCACAGCUGAAUCGCACAGAAUUUGAAGAUCAAGAUGAUGAAGCCAGAGUUCAGUAUGAGGGUUUUUGACCUGGGAUACCCUAUCAUUCCACAGGGAACUGGUUUCU
rnacentral:lncRNA from 1 species